rnacentral:sRNA from 2 species
GUGGGGCGCGUCUAGGGUUCCGCCGGCGGCAUUCGUCGAACAGGCCGGGUCUGGUCCGAGAGACGCAGGCGGCCGGCACCGACGCAGACCGUUCCACGGCGGGAGAAAAGCCCGGGAGAC